UUGUCUUUAGUACGGCGAGUGAGCGGCAAAAGCUCAAAUUUGAAAUCUGGUGAAAUCUGGUACCUUCGGUGCCCGAGUUGUAAUUUGGAGAGGGCAACUUUGGGGCCGUUCCUUGUCUAUGUUCCUUGGAACAGGACGUCAUAGAGGGUGAGAAUCCCGUGUGGCGAGGAGUGCGGUUCUUUGUAAAGUGCCUUCGAAGAGUCGAGUUGUUUGGGAAUGCAGCUCUAAGUGGGUGGUAAAUUCCAUCUAAAGCUAAAUAUUGGCGAGAGACCGAUAGCGAACAAGUACAGUGAUGGAAAGAUGAAAAGAACUUUGAAAAGAGAGUGAAAAAGUACGUGAAAUUGUUGAAAGGGAAGGGCAUUUGAUCAGACAUGGUGUUUUGUGCCCUCUGCUCCUUGUGGGUAGGGGAAUCUCGCAUUUCACUGGGCCAGCAUCAGUUUUGGUGGCAGGAUAAAUCCAUAGGAAUGUAGCUUGCCUCGGUAAGUAUUAUAGCCUGUGGGAAUACUGCCAGCUGGGACUGAGGACUGCGACGUAAGUCAAGGAUGCUGGCAUAAUGGUUAUAUGCCGCC
rnacentral:rRNA from 1 species